UAAUACGGGGGUUGCAAGCGUUGUUCGGAAUAACUGGGCGUAAAGCGAGCGCAGGCGGUUUGAUCAGUCUGAAGUGAAAUUCCGGGGCUCAACUCCGGACCUGCUUUGGAUACUGUCAAGCUUGAGUACGUGAGAGGAGGGUGGAAUUCCAGGUGUAGCGGUGAAAUGCGUAGAUAUCUGGAGGAACACCGGUGGCGAAAGCGGCCCUCUGGCACAGUACUGACGCUGAGGCUCGAAAGCGUGGGGAGCAAACGGG
rnacentral:rRNA from 1 species